ACGAAAUGCGAUAUGUAGUGUGAAUUGCAGAAUUCUGCGAAUCAUUGAGUCUUUGAAUGCAAGUUGCGCUCGCGGGUCGUCCAAUGGCAUGCCUUCCUGAGUGUCCAC
rnacentral:rRNA from 1 species